UGGGGAAUAUUGCACAAUGGGCGCAAGCCUGAUGCAGCCAUGCCGCGUGUGUGAAGAAGGCCUUCGGGUUGUAAAGCACUUUCAGCGAGGAGGAAGGUGGUGAGCUUAAUACGCUCAUCAAUUGACGUUACUCGCAGAAGAAGCACCGGCUAACUCCGUGCCAGCAGCCGCGGUAAUACGGAGGGUGCAAGCGUUAAUCGGAAUUAUUGGGCGUAAAGCGCACGCAGGCGGUUUGUUAAGUCAGAUGUGAAAUCCCCGGGCUCAACCUGGGAACUGCAUUUGAAACUGGCAAGCUAGAGUCUCGUAGAGGGGGGUAGAAUUCCAGGUGUAGCGGUGAAAUGCGUAGAGAUCUGGAGGAAUACCGGUGGCGAAGGCGGCCCCCUGGACGAAGACUGACGCUCAGGUGCGAAAGCGUGGGGCAGCAAACAGGAUUAGAUACCCUGGUAGUCCACGCUGUAAACGAUGUCGAUUUUGGAGGUUGUGCCCUUGAGGCGUGGCUUCCGGAGCUAACGCGUUAAAUUGACCGCCUGGGGAGUACGGCCGCAAGGUUAAAACUUAAAGGAAUUGACGGGGUCUAGCUG
rnacentral:rRNA from 1 species